GACGAACGCUGGCGGCGUGCCUAAUACAUGCAAGUAGAACGCUGAAGGAGGAGCUUGCUUCUCUGGAUGAGUUGCGAACGGGUGAGUAACGCGUAGGUAACCUGCCUGGUAGUGGGGGAUAACUAUUGGAAACGAUAGCUAAUACCGCAUAAUAGCAGUUGUUGCAUGAUAACUGUUUGAAAGGUGCAAUUGCACCGCUACCAGAUGGACCUGCGUUGUAUUAGCUAGUUGGUGGGGUAACGGCUCACCAAGGCGACGAUGCAUAGCCGACCUGAGAGGGUGAUCGGCCACACUGGGACUGAGACACGGCCCAGACUCCUACGGGAGGCAGCAGUAGGGAAUCUUCGGCAAUGGACGGAAGUCUGACCGAGCAACGCCGCGGGAGUGAAGAAGGUUGUCGGAUCGUAAAGCUCGGUUGUAAGAGAAGAACGAGUGUGAGAGUGGAAAGUUCACACUGUGACGGUAUCUGAACAGAAAGGGACGGCUAACUACGUG
rnacentral:rRNA from 1 species